AACGUAGGUGGCUAACGUUAUCCGGAUUUACUGGGCGUAAAGAGUGCGUAGGCGGCUAUGUAAGUCAGAUGUAAAAUCUCCUGGCUCAACUGGGAGGGACCAUCUGAUACUGUGUAGCUAGAGUACAGCAGAGGAAAGUGGAACUCCCGGUGUAGUGGUGGAAUGCGUAGAUAUCGGGAAGAACACCAGUGGCGAAAGCGGCUUUCUGGGCUGUUACUGACGCUGUUGCACGAAAGCGUGGGGAG
rnacentral:rRNA from 1 species